AAAGAAAUACAAGUUCAUGACAAAUAAAGUCUAAUAUGUUAAUAUAAAUGAAGCAUUGUUUGUCAUUUAAAAUGCAUCACUAUAAUAAUUAGCACCACAAAGGUUCUGAGAAUCAAAUGCAUGUCAUUAUUUUCCUCAGAAUCAUCACAUGUUCACACAUGCAUGUCAAAGCACCUGAGGUGAAUGGCAGUCAGGCUAAAGUGCAAGCAUGGUGGAACUGGAAUGUUUUUUUUUUACUAUGGUCUGACUGAGGUUCAAGCAUAGAUGAAUGAGAGGGUUGAUUUUUCUCAGUGUUGCUGAACAAAACUUUCUUAAUAAUCUCAACAACAAAAUAAACAUUGUACAAAUAAUUACCUCUUAAAAUUAUAAUUGUUUUGGAGAAGUGGUUCUCAAUUUGUUGAUCACAGCCCAAAAAUGUGAAGCAGGUCUGUUCUGAUCACACCUGAUCAGGUUUGCAUACAGCAAGGAUAAAACAAUGCUAAAUGGAAUUAAUAUAAUCAUGCAAAGUUAGAUAGCAAAAUAAAUAAAUAAUAUAAAAUUAAAGCUCAAGUGUGCAAUUUCUGCGCCGCUGUUCCACCAAAUGGAAUUGUAAAAAAUAAACAUUGUUUUCAAACAUUACAUUGCCCAAGUAAAAAGUGCCAAACCCCAUAUCUCUACAAUCUUCUUGUGUUGAGAUAUGUCUGAGGCUUCUAGCAUCCCACAGGGCCAACCAAGGGCCUCAGUACACCCCUACCCCUAUGUCUCUAAAAUAUCUGGAGCUAAGAUAUAACAGGCCUCACAGGGAAAUAAAAAAGGCUAAGUACAUGGCCCAAAGUAAAAAGAGCCCACUCCCAAGUCUCUAUGAUAUUCUGGAACUUAAAUAUUGCAGGGGCCCCCAAAUGUGUCACAGAGCCAAUCAAUUGCAUAAGUACACUGCCUUGAGUAAAACUAGCUCACCCCCCCCAUGUCUCUACGAUUUUCUGAUGCUGAAAUAUAUCUGAGGCCCCUAAGGGCCCCCAGGGACACUCAAGGACCUAACAGGGCCAACCAAGGGCCAUACUGACACUCAUAUCUCAGCUCCAAAUAGAGAUCUCAGUACACUUCCCCAAAUCAAAUGAGCCCAUCUCUAUAUGUCUCAGUGAUAUUCUGGAGCUGAGGUAUUGCAGGGGGCUCCCAAAAGGUGUCCUUGGGCCAUUUAAAGACCUCAGUACACUGUUGCCGAACCGUUCCCAAAUCAGCUGGACCGAAUUGGGAUGAAGCCUCAACUCUCCACUGGGCAAGUGUUGUCGUGAUAGCGCGUCCGCUACCACGUUGAGGUUGCCCGGGAUGUAAGUGGCACGCAGUGACUAGAGUUGCUGCUGGCUCCAAAGAAGGAGACGAUGAGCGAGUUGUGACGUGACGGGAGCCGCCUUGGCGAUUUAUGUACGCUACCGUGGUGGUGCUGUCUGAUCAGAUCAAGACGUGUUUGCCCUGAAUUAGUGGGAGAAACCUCCGCAGGGCAAAAAGUACAGCCAACAACUCUAGGCAGUUGAUGUGCCAGCGCAGUAGGGCCCCUUUCCAAUGGCCCGCGGCUGUGUGCCCGUUGCACACAGCGCCUCAACCCAAUUUGGAGGCAUCUGUGGAGACCAGGACCCUUCGGGACACCUGCUACAAGGGGACUCCUGUCCGUAGAAAGCAGAGGUCUAUCCAGGGUUUGAAAGUUUGGCGGGAGGUGGGGGUGAUGAACAAACGGUGCGUGCCCCGGUGCCAUGCUCGUCUCGGGACUUGAGUCUGGAGCCAGUGCUGAAGCGGUCUAAUAUGCAUCAACCCCAGUGGCGCGACCACCGCGGAGGACGCCAUAUACCCCAGGAGCCUCUGGAAAUGUGGGGGUGCCUGGCAAACUGAAUUGCAUAACCGAUUCGAAUGGUCCUGGCCAGUCAGCGUGACAGAUUGGGAAGCGAGAGCCAUGCGUCUAAGCUCCGUGCUAGGGACACUAAGGGGACGAUUAUUUUUGACGUACCCGGCAGGGCUUCGCAGCGGGCGGAGUAGGUAAUGCGGCGUCGGCGGGCAGACAGGGCACGGCCCGUCCUGGAGGUGGAGGUGUGGUGGGGCAUGAUGUGAGAUGUGGCCUCCGUCUGCUUUUUCACUGCUGAGAACUGGGAGACAGGUGCGUCGAUGAAGCGUGUUUUGUCCACUUUGCACAUCUCGACCAUGUUCAGCCACAGAUAAAGUUCCUGAACCAUGAGAGUGGCUAUCGCCUGCCUGAGUGACCGCGUGUUGACCUUCGUGGCCCUGAGGGAGAGGUUGGUCACUGAGCGCAGUUCCUGCAGCAUGUCGGGAUCAGGACUACCCAAGUGCAGAUCUUUAAGAGCCUUGGCCUGGUGGACUUGCAGGGUGGAAGCGGCCUAUCCGGUGGCACUGUAGGCUUUGGAGGUCAGUGAAGACGUCAUCCUACAGGCCUUGGAGGGGAGCACAGGACGACCAGGUGGCAGGGUCUAAAGUGCAAAUGUGUUAUACAAUCUAUGUGGUGCAUGUUUUAUUGUUUUGUAUGUUUCUGUAUGUGACUGCCUGUGUUUAAUUAGGUGUUCAUGGGUCACAUCAAGGAGGUGUGUGUUAUGUGAAACGUAUCCGUUCCGCCCCUGCCCUUCAACAAAAACAGGCAGAGAGAAAGAACUUGUCUUCCUGGAUUCCUCUCCUACCCCAUUUAACCUCUGUCAGGGGUUCUUCACCCUAAAAAACUAGCUUGCGGCACUCCAUAAAGGAAAGAGAGAAAGUAGAGCAGAGCAAAUAUUUUGAAACAAUGCUCUGCCAGCAAGAGUUUGUGCAUCACUCGGCAUGCUGUGGUCAUGGUGCUAUCAUACUCAACCAUGCUCGGGGUCACAGCUGUGAGAACAGAGGCGACAUCGGGGAGCACUGCCUUGGCUGUGGUUGACAACAAC